GACCUAGAAAAAUCAUACGCCAUUUUCUCGUUGACGCGUGCGGACGUUAGUGCGCCGCAUUCAUAAAUAUCGUGAACAUCUCGUAAAAAGUUAUAAAAAAAAGAUAAUAAAAGCCUCCCCAAGGAUGAGUUACGGACGUCCACCACCCCGGAUCGACGGGAUGGUAUCCUUGAAGGUUGAUAAUCUGACCUAUCGCACAACCCCGGAAGAUCUUCGACGCGUGUUCGAGCGUUGCGGUGAAGUCGGGGAUAUCUACAUCCCCAGGGAUCGUUUUACGCGGGAGAGUCGGGGUUUUGCAUUUGUCAGGUUUUAUGAUAAACGCGACGCUGAGGACGCACUCGACGCCAUGGAUGGACGACUCCUGGAUGGGAGGGAACUUCGUGUGCAAAUGGCUCGAUAUGGUAGGCCAACAUCACCACACAGAAGCCGUGGAAGUCGUCGCAGGGGGAGAUCUCGCAGUCGCAGUCGCGAUCGCAGGAGGUCUCGCUCUAGAUCUCGAUCGAGGUCACGAAGCCGUGAUCGUGAUCGCAGACGUUCCUACAGCCGCAGCCACAGCCGCUCGCGUUCAGACAGCAAAAGCUCAAGAGGAAAGUCCCGCUCGCGCAGCAAGAGUGCAGACAGGCAGAACAACAGUCGCUCCAAGUCAAGAAUCGUUUCAAUUUCCAAUUCACAGAGACUGAAGCGCUGAUGGUAUGAGAGUACAGGAUUGAGACGAACGUGCCCCUCACGAUGAAAAUUCCCGAAUCGUUCUCACAGCCUGCAAAAGGCGGUGGAAAGGAGUGGCGUGUCGAGUGUAGCCGAUGAUGGGGGUAGCUGAGAGUAAGCAGUUAACCGGAAGUAGCGGGGAUCUGUGCUGUUUGCUGUCGAGAGGCGGUUGGUGGUCUGGUGAAAAAAAUAUUGAGGCAGUUUUCGCGAUAGAUAGAUCGAGAUUAUUCGAGAGUUCUGGGGGUUAUGCAGUUAUCAGCCGAAUUUAAUUAAUCAUCACCAGACACCAUCGGUAGUUGGCGAAUGAACGUGGGGUGGACGGAUGGAUUAACUACGCGUGAUUAAGAGGCCAAUGAUGUUGGGAAUUGCUCUGGGGCUCAAGAUUUUUUUUAACAAUCGAAGCCCCAAGUUUACGAUAUCAUUGGCCACUUAUGGCUGACGACAUGGAGAGAUUUAGGAUUCAGCUGGGGGUAGUCGACUGAUGAGAUUAUAACGUGUCUACUCGUCACUCCACUUUCAACCGUGAGUUUUCAUUCUUCCGGGGAUUUUUUAUUGUCUUUGGGGGAGUGAAAAUGCAAGGAGAUCAUGGAAAAAGAGCAGAGCCAUUGUUUUUAUUUUUUAUUUUUUUUUUUUUUGGAAAUAUAUCGGAAUGUGGAGGGGGACACCGAGAUUUUUCGUAGGACCUUUUUUGUAGAGGGCAUUGAGAGCUACAAAAAAGUUCCCAGAAAUAUCUCGGUAUUUGUCUUUUAUUUCGAGAUAUUCCGCACUUGUUACUCUCUAGUUUUUCGCUGAUGAUCGAAAUUUCAUUUUCUGGGCAUUUUUGGUUUAUCUCGACAGGAAGUGGUUUCAGGAAGAAAUUUUAUUGGACUUUUUUGUAGAGGUGAAUAUUUCCUCGAAAAAGUUACUCAUAAUUUUUUAUCCUAGAACCCAUUCUUGUGAAGAUAAUCGAAAAUUUAACGGGUGAUGGGAAGGGGAGGGUUUCACAACUUGAGUACUGAAUGGUUUUGUAUCGGUAUCAAUGCUGGAAUUUAUUGAGACCGAUUAUUAUUUGAUAAAUGGUCAACAAUUUUUGCGAUCGUUAAUGGGAUUAUUUGUUAUGGUAAUAAUGAGUUUAUUGCAGGCACUGGGCACGUAAGUAUUCAUCAGUUAUUAAUCUGAAUUCUGUGUUGAAGUGACGAAUUUUUCCCUGAUUACUCUGGUUUUAGGAUAAAAUCUUUUUUAUUUUCCUGAAAUCACUCAUUAUCGAAAUAAUUACGAGCU